rnacentral:lncRNA from 10 species
CUAGCACAAGUUCUCUUUGCCUGCUGCAAUCCAUGUAAGAUGUGACUUGUUCCUCCUUGCCUUCUGCCAUGAUUGUGAGGCCUCCACAGCCAUGCGGAACUGUUGAAAUACACACUACCUGAAGCUGGAUAACUCAUGAACUCUGUUGACAAUUAUAUUCUUUGUCUUUUUAAUUAACUCAUUUGGAGUUGGUGUCCUGAGGACCUAAGCCUAAGAAUCUUCAAGAUGGAAGAGUAGAGUGAACAAUGAAUGAGCCAGAGGGCUCUUGUCCUCUGUGUGCAGCUCUGGGCAGCCAGCAGGUGGAUAUGGGACUUGGCCUGCUGGAGGGGCCCUGGCAAGAGGAGCUGGCAGGAGCAGAUGGCAAAGAUCCUUCUACUAUAACCCGGGGAGAUGGAGAACAUCUGUUUGGGGCAUCCUUUUGUUGGAACGACUAACUCUGCCGUAAGGAAAAGGAUGAAAGAUUAGCAUAAAGUUUGCUAAUCAGAGGACAGGCAUUCAUAUCCUGGCUUCACUACUUGUUGUGUGAUCUUAGACAAGUUGCUAAACCAUUCUCUC